rnacentral:lncRNA from 1 species
CUGGCCUCCCUUCCAUGACCUAUGACCGAUGAUGACCUUUAGCUAGAGAAUGUGACAUUUUGUUCUCCUCUGGCUGACAUGUGAUGCCCUCAUUAUUCAAAGAUGUGAAGAGAAGAAGCUCUUUUGUAAGGUGGCAUAGAGGAUGGAUACUAAAGGAAGAGGGAAUCUGGAAAUACAGAACUCCAUUUGCAGGUGCUGGAUGAACUCCAGGCACCAGGGUGCUGUUCAGACCGAGACAGAAAGCUGCACACCUGGAUUUCAUCCCAGUGUGGAGUCCAGGCAGAGUAGACACCAGUUCAUCAUUCCACAGUUUAGACAUAGCCUAUCAACUCCUUAAGCAACUGACUGUCAUUUAAAUAACUGUACAAAGCCCAGCUUUGCUUCUCCUAUUUUCAGCAGUCCCACCUGCCUCAACAGAGCUACUUGUAGAGACAUCUUGGGGAUCUGAACUGUCAAGUGUGAGAACAAAACCUUGCAACCAGUUACUUCUGAGUCUGAAGGGUGACACAGACAUUGAAUUGAAUUUCUAAUCUAAAGUAAAA